rnacentral:rRNA from 1 species
GCCCUUGAGUUUGAUCCUGGCUCAGGGUGAACGCUGGCGGCGUGCUUGACACAUGCAAGUCGAACGGUAUGUGGCAACACAUAGAGUGGCGAACGGGUGAGUAACACGUGGGAACGUACCAUCUGCAGGGGGAUAACUGACCGAAAGGACAGCUAAUACCGCAUAAGUCCGGAAGGAGAAAGGUGCAAUAGCAUCGGCAGAAGAGCGGCCCGCGGUCCAUCAGCUAGUUGGUGAGGUAAGGGUUUACCAAGGCGACGACGGAUAGCCGGCGUGAGAGCGUGGCCGGCCACAAGGACACUGAGAUACGGGUCCUACUCCUACGGGAGGCAGCAGUGCGGAAUUUUAGAUAAUGGAGGGAACUCUGAUCUAGCGACGCCGCGUGCAGGAAGAAGGUCUUCGGAUUGUAAACUGCUGUGGUAAGGGAAAAAUGCCAUGUAGAGUGGAAAGCUACAUGGAGGGAUGGUACCUUACUAGAAAGCCCCGGCUAACUACGUGCCAGCAGCCGCGGUAAUACGUAGGGGGCGAGCGUUACCCGGAAUCACUGGGCGUAAAGGGAGCGUAGGUGGCCUAACAUGUCAACUGUGAAAACCCGGAGCUCAACUCCGGACUUGCAGUUGAAACUGGUAGGCUUGAGGACGGUAGAGGAAGACGGAACUGCCAGUGUAGGGGUAAAAUCCUUAGAUAUUGGCAGGAACGCCGGUGACGAAGGUGGUUUUCUGGGCCGGUUCUGACACUGAUGCUCGAAGCUAGGGGAGCGAACGGGGAUUAGAUA